UCGAGAAUCUUCCGCAAUGGGCGAAAGCCUGACGGAGCAAUGCCGCGUGGUGGAUGAAGGCCUUCGGGUUGUAAACACCUGUCAGUAGGAAGGAAAUUUUGACCGAUCUACAGAGGAAGUCCGGGCUAAGUACGUGCCAGCAGCCGCGGUAAUACGUACCGGACGAACGUUAUUCGGAAUCACUGGGCUUAAAGAGUACGUAGGCUGCCUUGAAGGUGAGAUGUGAAAUCCCAUGGCCUAACCAUGGAACUGCAUUUCAAACCACAGGGCUUGAGGGAGACAGGGGUGAGCGGAACUGAUGGUGGAGCGGUGAAAUGCGUUGAUAUCAUCAGGAACACCGGUGGCGAAGGCGGCUCACUGGGUCUCUUCUGACGCUGAGGUACGAAAGCUAGGGUAGCGAACGGGAUUAGAUACCCCCGUAGUCC
rnacentral:rRNA from 1 species